rnacentral:rRNA from 1 species
UACGUAGGCAGCAAGCGUUGUUCGGAAUUACUGGGCGUAAAGAGUGUGUAGGCGGUGCUCUAAGUUUGGUGUGAAAUCUCCCGGCUUAACUGGGAGGGUGCGCCGAAAACUGCGGGGCUGGAGUAUGGGGAGAGGUAAGCGGAAUUCCUGGUGUAGCGGUGAAAUGCGCAGAUAUCAGGAGGAACACCGAUGGCGAAGGCAGGUCUCUGGGCCACUACUGACGCUGAGAAGCGAAAGCAUGGGGAGCGAACAGG